GAGUUUGAUCAUGGCUAGGAUGAACGCUGGCGGCGUGCUUCAUACAUGCAAGUCGAGCGAGGGCCGCCCGGUGGCAACACCGGGUUGGUUCCUAGCGGCGAACGGGUGAGUAACACGUGGGCAACCUGCCCCCGACUCUGGGAUAAGCCCGGGAAACUGGGUCUAAUACCGGAUACGAGCUCCCACCGCAUGGUGGGAGCUGGAAAGGGUCUCCGGUCGGGGAUGGGCCCGCGGCCUAUCAGCUCGUUGGUGGGGUGAUGGCCCACCAAGGCGACGACGGGUAGCCGGCCUGAGAGGGUGGACGGCCACACUGGGACUGAGACACAGCCCAGACUCCUACGGGAGGCAGCAGUAGGGAAUCUUGUCCAAUGGGCGCAAGCCUGAGACAGCGACGCCGCGUGCGGGACGAAGGCCUUCGGGUUGUAAACCGCUUUCAGCAGGGACGAAGCGAAAGUGACGGUACCUGCAGAAGAAGGUCCGGCCAACUACGUGCCAGCAGCCGCGGUAAUACGUAGGGACCGAGCGUUGUCCGGAUUUAUUGGGCGUAAAGAGCUCGUAGGCGGCCGCGCAAGUCGAUUGUGAAAACUCGGGGCUCAACCCCGAGCCUGCGUUCGAUACUGCACGGCUAGAGUCUGGUAGGGGGAUCUGGAAUUCCUGGUGUAGCGGUGGAAUGCGCAGAUAUCAGGAGGAACACCGGUGGCGAAAGCGGGAUCCUGGGCCAGUACUGACGCU
rnacentral:rRNA from 1 species